UACAGAGGUCCCAAGCGUUGUUCGGAUUCACUGGGCGUAAAGAGCUCGUAGGCGGCUUGUCGCGUCGUCCGUGAAAACCCACAGCUCAACUGUGGGCUUGCGGUCGAUACGGGCAGGCUAGAGUUCGGUAGGGGAGACUGGAAUUCCUGGUGUAGCGGUGAAAUGCGCAGAUAUCAGGAGGAACACCGGUGGCGAAGGCGGGUCUCUGGGCCGAUACUGACGCUGAGGAGCGAAAGCGUGGGGAGCGAACAGG
rnacentral:rRNA from 1 species